GUAUCAUGGCUCAGGACGAACGCUGGCGGCGCGCCUAACACAUGCAAGUCGAACGGAGCGUUACAGGCAGAAGUUUUCGGAUGGAAGCUUGUAAACUUAGUGGCGGACGGGUGAGUAACACGUGAGCAACCUGCCUAUCAGAGGGGAUAACGAUUGGAAACGAUCGCUAAUACCGCAUGACAUAGCGGAACCGCAUGGUUCUGUUAUCAAAGNUUUUAUCGCUGAUAGAUGGG
rnacentral:rRNA from 1 species